CUAUUCCUACGGGACGCAGCAGUAGGAAAUCUUCCACAAUGGGGAAACCCUGAUCCAGCGACGCCGCGUGAGUGAAGAAGUAUUUCGGUAUGUAAAGCUCUAUCAGCAGGGAAGAAAAUGACGGUACCUGACUAAGAAGCCCCGGCUAACUACGUGCCAGCAGCCGCGGUAAUACGUAGGGGGCAAGCGUUAUCCGGAUUUACUGGGUGUAAAGGGAGCGUAGACGGCAUUGCAAGUCUGAUGUGAAAGAUUGGGGCUCAACCCCAGGCCUGCAUUGGAAACUGUAAAGCUGGAGUACAGGAGAG
rnacentral:rRNA from 1 species